UACGAAGGGGGCUAGCGUUGUUCGGAUUUACUGGGCGUAAAGAGCGCGCAGGCGGUCGUUCAAGUCGCGUGUGAAAGCCCCCGGCUCAACUGGGGAGGGUCACGCGAUACUGAUCGACUCGAAGGCAGGAGAGGGAAGUGGAAUUCCCGGUGUAGUGGUGAAAUGCGUAGAUAUCUGGAGGAACACCGGUGGCGAAGGCGGCGUCCUGGACCAAUUCUGACACUGAGGAGCGAAAGCCAGGGGAGCAAACGG
rnacentral:rRNA from 1 species